UUACGGCCAUAUCAUGUUGAAAGACCGAAUUUCGUACGAUCACCGAAGUUAAGCAAGUUAAGAUCAAGCCUGAUCUGUACCGAGAUGGGUGACGGCUUAGGAAUACCAGGUGCUGUAA